GACGAACGCUGGCGGCGUGCUUAACACAUGCAAGUCGAACGGAAAGGCCCCUUUGGGGGUACUCGAGUGGCGAACGGGUGAGUAACACGUGAGUAACCUGCCCUUGACUUCGGGAUAACUUCAGGAAACUGGGGCUAAUACCUGAUAGGAAUCCUUGCUGCAUGGUGGGGGUUGGAAAGCUUCGGCGGUUUUGGAUGGACUCGCGGCUUAUCAGCUUGUUGGUGGGGUAGUGGCUUACCAACGCUUUGACGGGUAGCCGGCCUGAGAGGGCGACCGGCCACAUUGGGACUGAGAUACGGCCCAGACUCCUACGGGGGGCAGAAGUGGGGAAUAUUGCACAAUGGGCGGAAGCCUGAUGCAGCAACGCCGCGUGCGGGAUGACGGCCUUCGGGUUGUAAACCGCUUUCAGCAGGGGCGAAGCUUGUGGUGACGGUACCUGCAGAAGAAGCAACGGCUAACUACGUG
rnacentral:rRNA from 1 species